CCUACGGGUGGCAGCAGUGGGGAAUAUUGCGCAAUGGGCGAAAGCCUGACGCAGCGACGCCGCGUGAGGGAUGAAGGUCUUCGGAUCGUAAACCUCUGUCAGCAGGGAAGUACGGUCACUGUGCUAAUCAGCAGUGAAUUGACGGUACCUGCAAAGGAAGCACCGGCUAGCUCCGUGCCAGCAGCCGCGGUAAUACGGAGGGUGCGUGCGUUAAUCGGAAUUACUGGGCGUAAAGCGCUCGUAGGCGGUAUGUCAAGUCAAGGGUGAAAUCCCCGCGCUCAACGUGGGAACUGCCUUUGACACUGGCAGACUGGAGUGUAGGAGAGGAUAGUGGAAUUCCAGGUGUAGGAGUGAAAUCCGUAGAUAUCUGGAGGAACAUCAGUGGCGAAGGCGACUAUCUGGCACAUAACUGACGCUGAGGAGCGAAAGCGUGGGUAGCAAACAGGAUUAGAUACCCUAGUAGUC
rnacentral:rRNA from 1 species